GAAGGAAGGAAGCGAGGUAAUGAGCACAUACAUCAAAUCGGGUCUCCAAGCCUGCCAUUUUUGAUGUCUUCCGGCUUUGAUUUUAAGGUAUAGUUCCAUGGCAAAAUG